rnacentral:tRNA from 1 species
GCAGAAUAGGUUUACCGUGGUUGACUUGAAAUCAAUUAGAUUAUGUUUGAUUCAUAAAUUCUGUU